UUCAGAUCAGAGCAUCAUCUUUGGAAGUGACAUCCACUUCUGUUGACACUGGUGAACUGAUAUCAGAAGUUGAAAGCCGAGAGAACACAGAAACAAGGAGGAAUGGUGAUGUGCGCUACAGUACUCGUUAUCAUGUGCGCUUUCAUGUUGGUUCUCCUAGUCCUCAAGGAGACACUUUUUUGAUCUAAGAGGACAGUUGGUUCCAAAUUUUGGCUCCAUUCUAAUUGUCAUAACCCUUCCUUGAGAGGCUUCAACACGAGAAGAUAUACUCUCCUUAGCAGAAGACAAGAGGGAGUUUUGGCGUGCCUAGGUAGAUAUACUACAUAAAAGUGAUUAUUCUAUUGUAUCCUCUAUAUUUCUGGGUAUUAUUGAAUAGUGGGUGGGGGGAGGGUAGUGAUCAGUUAGGGAAUGAAUGCCCUGGAAAUUGUAUAGAGCACAUAUUGACAUAUUGUAUGUUGUUACUUGAGGAAGAGUGUUUGUCAAUCGA